AGAGUUUGAUCCUGGCUCAGAACGAACGCUGGCGGCAUGCCUAACACAUGCAAGUCGGACGCUGCUUUGGGUUUCGGCUCGAAGCGGAGUGGCGCACGGGUGAGUAGCGCGUGGGAACCUGUCCUUUUGUGGGGGAUAACCGAGGGAAACUUCGGCUAAUACCGCAUGCGCCCCGGGGAACCGGGGGAAAGAUUUAUCGC
rnacentral:rRNA from 1 species